rnacentral:lncRNA from 1 species
ACUGUAUCUUAAGCUUUCCUUUAUUUUUUCUUUUCUUUUUGUAGUUCAAGGCAGCAAACAAUCUGGACAAAACUGUAAACAGGAAAGCUACUGAGUGAGCACAGGCUGUCUUCACUGUCUUUGGUGUAUUCUUGCUUCCCCAUUAUUCCAUACCUGCUCUACAGCAAUAAAAAGACUAACAACUGAAUGAAAAUGCAAAAAUAUGGUCGGAGAGGAAGUUAUGGCUGCACUCUGCUUGAGUUAUUUGCCAGACAAAAAGAGAAGAUGAUGAUUAAAUAAGCACAUUGAGGAACCAUUAUCUGAGAUA